GACGAACGCUGGCGGCGUGCUUAACACAUGCCAGUCGAACGGAAAGGCCCUGCUUUUGUGGGGUGCUCGAGUGGCGAACGGGUGAGUAACACGUGAGUAACCUGCCCUUGACUUUGGGAUAACUUCAGGAAACUGGGGCUAAUACCGGAUAGGAGCUCCUGCUGCAUGGUGGGGGUUGGAAAGUUUCGGCGGUUGGGGAUGGACUCGCGGCUUAUCAGCUUGUUGGUGGGGUAGUGGCUUACCAAGGCUUUGACGGGUAGCCGGCCUGAGAGGGUGACCGGCCACAUUGGGACUGAGAUACGGCCGAGACUCCUACGGGAGGCAGCAGUGGGGAAUAUUGCACAAUGGGCGGAAGCCUGAUGCAGCAACGCCGCGUGCGGGAUGACGGCCUUCGGGUUGUAAACCGCUUUCGCCUGUGACGAAGCGUGAGUGACGGUAAUGGGUAAAGAAGCACCGGCUAACUACGUG
rnacentral:rRNA from 1 species